rnacentral:tRNA from 1 species
GCCUGGCUGGCUUAGUCGGUAGAGCAUGAGACUCUUGAUUUUAGGGUUGUGAGUUCAAGCCCCAUGCUGGAUG